rnacentral:rRNA from 1 species
AUCAACGCUGGCGGCGUGCCUAACACAUGCAAGUCGAACGAGAAAGUCCGCAAGGAUGAGUACAGUGGCGACCGGUGAGUAACACGUGACUAACCUACCUCCGAGUGGGAAUACUCCGGGAAACCGGAGCUAAUACCGCAUAACAUCGCAAGAUCAAAGCAGCAAUGCGCUUGGAGAGGGGGUCCGCGGCUGAUUAGGCUAGUUGGUAGGGUAACGGCCUACCAAGGCGAAGAUCGGUAUCCGGCCUGAGAGGGCGCACGGACACACUGGAACUGAAACACGGUCCAGACUCCUACGGGAGGCAGCAGUGGGGAAUUUUGCGCAAUGGGGUGAAACCCUGACGCAGCAACGCCGCGUGGAGGAUGAAGUCCCUUGGGAUGUAACUCCUUUCGACCCGGACGAUACUGACGGUACGGGUGGAAGAAGCACCGGCUAACUCUGUGCCAGCAGCCGCGGUAAAUACAGAGGGUGCGAGCGUUGUUCGGAAUUAUUGGGCGUAAAGGGCGCGUAGGCGGUGCGGUAAGUCACCUGUGAAAUCUCCUGGCUCAACUGGGAGCUUGCAGCGAAACUGCCGUGCUGGAGUGUGGGAGAGGGUGCGUGGAAUUCCCGUGUGUAGCGGUGAAAUGCGUAGAUAUCGGGAGAGACACCUGUGGCGAAAGCGGCGCACUGGACCACAACCUGACGCUGAGGCGCGAAAGCUAGGGGAGCAAACAGGAUUAGAUACCCUGGUAGUCCUAGCCCUAAACUAUGGAUGCUUGCUGUGAUGGGUACCCAAUCCCAUCGUGGCGAAGACUAACGCGAUAAGCAUCCCCGCCUGGGGAGUACGGUCGCAAUGCUGAACUCAAGGAAUUGACGGGGGCCCGCACAAGCGGUGGAGCAUGUGGUUCAAUUCGACGCAACGCGAAGAACCUUACCUGGGCUCGAAGCGCAGUGGAAUCCGGUGGAAACAUCGGCGCCCGCAGGGCCGCUGCGGAGGGUGCUGCAUGGCUGUCGUUCAGCUCGUGUCGUGAGAUGUUGGGUUAAGUCCCGCAACCGAGUCGCAACCCUUUAUCGUCAGUUGCCACCGGGUCAAGCCGGGCAACUCUGGCGAAACCGCCUCGGAUAACGGGGAGGAAGGUGGGGAUGACGUCAAGUCCUCAUGGCCUUUAUGUCCAGGGCUACAACACUGUGCUACAAUGGUCGGUACACAACCGUCGCAAACCCACGAAGGGGGAGCUAAUCGGAAAAAGCCGGCCUCAGUUCGGAUUGGAGUCUGCACCUCGACUCCAUGAAGCUGGAAAAUCGCUAGUAAUCGCAGAUCAGAACGCCUGCGGUGAAUACGUUCCCGGGCCUUGUACACACCGCCCGUCACAUCACGAAAGGGGAUUGUACAGAAGCUGCAGUGCCUGACCCGCAAGGGGGCAAUCGGCCCAAGGUAUGAUCCAUGAUUGGUGAG